rnacentral:rRNA from 1 species
UACGUAGGGCGCGAGCGUUGUCCGGAAUUAUUGGGCGUAAAGAGCUCGUAGGCGGUGUGUCGCGUCGGCCGUGAAAACCUGGGGCUCAACUCUGGGCGUGCGGUCGAUACGGGCAUCACUUGAGUUCGGCAGGGGAGACUGGAAUUCCUGGUGUAGCGGUGAAAUGCGCAGAUAUCAGGAGGAACACCGGUGGCGAAGGCGGGUCUCUGGGCCGAUACUGACGCUGAGGAGCGAAAGCAUGGGGAGCGAACAGG